GUGAAUCAUCGAAUCUUUGAACGCAAAUUGCACUCUCUGGUAUUCCGGAGAGUAUGCCUGUUUGAGGGUCAGUUUAAAUAAAAAUCGGUGUGGUUGCCGCCUUUCGUGGUGACGCACCGGAUUUGGGUCGUCUUGCCUUCGGUUAAGUGACCUAAAUUUUUCCUGGUUUUUUUUCGGCGGAAUUUAAUGAUUUUAACUUCCGUUUCC
rnacentral:misc_RNA from 1 species